rnacentral:rRNA from 1 species
AGCGUUGUUCGGAAUUACUGGGCGUAAAGCGCACGUAGGCGGCUUGGUAAGUUAGAGGUGAAAGCCUGGAGCUCAACUCCAGAAUUGCCUUUAAGACUGCCGAGCUAGCAGGUGAGAGAGGUGAGUGGAAUUCCGAGUGUAGAGGUGAAAUUCGUAGAUAUUCGGAAGAACACCAGUGGCGAAGGCGGCUCACUGGCUCAUACUGGACGCUGAGGUGCGAAAGCGUGGGGAGCAAACAGG